UGGCCUCGAAUCAGGUAGGGAUACCCGCUGAACUUAAGCAUAUCAAUAAGCGGAGGA
rnacentral:rRNA from 1 species